rnacentral:rRNA from 1 species
UACGUAGGGUGCAAGCGUUGUCCGGAAUUAUUGGGCGUAAAGAGCUCGUAGGCGGUUUGUCGCGUCCGCUGUGAAAACGCGAGGCUCAACCUCGCGCCUGCAGUGGGUACGGGCAGACUAGAGUGCGGUAGGGGAGAUUGGAAUUCCUGGUGUAGCGGUGGAAUGCGCAGAUAUCAGGAGGAACACCGGUGGCGAAGGCGGGUCUCUGGGCCGAUACUGACGCUGAGGAGCGAAAGCGUGGGGAGCAAACAGG